UACCCCGUAUUUGAAGUGAUAUUACAUGUGUAAAAAUGUGUACAAUAAGUUUAGGAUGCAUGUCAAAUGUAGCUGAGUGCUUAGUAAAAAUGUUGAUAUACAACAUGUAGGUGUCACCAUGAUUCCUAGCAUAUAGAUGGGUGCAAAUACGAAACUAAGACACGUGGUCAGUUGCUGAAGAAAUUCCGGUGAAAACAUGCAGGGUCUAGCAAAAGGUCUGUAGCUGUGAGGGAAGGUGGAUGGCCCCAUAUGAGAGGUGUCACCAUGAUUCCUAGCAUAUAGAUGGGUGCAAAUACGAAACUAAGACACGUGGUCAGUUGCUGAAGAAAUUCCGGUGAAAACAUGCAGGGUCUAGCAAAAGGUCUGUAGCUGUGAGGGAAGGUGGAUGGCCCCAUAUGAGAGGUAGAUUUUUGAGAAGGGCAGAUAGGGUUCUUGAUUGUGCACAGUGUCUAAAUCCCCAUGUUUGGUACUGUGAUGGUGUGGGGGUGGUGCGGAUUAGCCCAAAUGAGGGAAAAUCAAAGCAAAAAAGGGGAACCUGCUCAGAGCAUGUUUUGUGCACCAGCACCAGUAUUUAUAGAUUACAUGUAAGUUAGGGUCAUAAUUUAUUAACUACACUAAUAUGAAAUACAAGUAUGGACAUAAAAGGGAAAUAUGAUUUUUCAUUAGUCUGUCAUAAUCUGACUUUGGUGUAUACCCCCUAUCCACAUGUUUCAAAACCAAAGAAACUGUCCCCUGCCACCUUUAAGAGAAUGGCAUUUUUUGAAACCCAUGGAAUUCAGUCAAUUUCAUUAAUAUUAUCAAGAUAAAUGUAUUAGAUAUGCAAUACAACCCUUUAUUUCAAUAGAUGUAUCACAUUAGUGUCACAAUGGUAGACAACAGAGUCAAGGGGGGUAAGCUAUGCUUUAGUACUAUGGAAAACCAGAAUCUGGUCAAGUAUCAUAGUGACAUGUAAGUACAUGUAAAUAAGCUUAGUGGUUAAAAUAAUGUUAUUUGGGGUACUUCAUAUACUGUGUAUUCUUUUUACAUAGAUUACAUGUAGUUUUACAUGUUCUACAUGUAAUUAACAAAUUGUACUGAUUGACAGGUCUCAGGUACAGUAGAUCACAUUUCUUCUCAGCACCAUGAUACAUAUUUAUGAAAAAAUACUUGCAGAUAGAGAGAUAAGUCAUUUUAGAGACAUUUUGUACACAAAAAACACAGUUAAUACCAUUUUCUCAUUUAUGGGUGGUACUUGUAAACAAGCCACCUCCCCUUUGACAUUUGGCUGAAUUGCAUGAAUCUUUAGUUUUCACUAUUAGGAUGGCAUAGAAUAGAAUGUAAGAAGAGAACAGGUAUUCAAAAUCUUGUUGGGGAGUUGUUUACUUAAUUAGAGCAUAUUUCAGGUCUAUACAUAUACAGUAUGUAAAGAAGUAGACAGUGAAGUUGGAAAUUUUCUUGAUUUUAAGAGCAGUUAUGUCCCUUUAUCUCUCUCUAAUCCAUCAUUUUCUACACAGGUUCUCAUGAUUACAUGUUCAGCAUGUAGCACCACAUAUAAGGUCACUUUUACCAUAGAUACAAUAUACUUGUAAUAUUAUUUGUUAGGCACAGGGAUCUUACUCGAACACUCUCAUCACUCAAAAAUGACAACAUCAUACACAGAAAUGUAGGGGUUUUAAAUAAUUUUAUUGCGUACACAUUUAGGGCGGUCGACAUGAUGUAUUGGUGUAGUUUCACUCAGAAUAAGUCAGAUUUGUCAAAAAUGGGAGUUGACGUCAAUGACAUGAGAUGUCAGAAUUCUUAAAGGUAGCAGGGGACAGUUUCGCACUAUAGGCCCGGUCAACUUUUUCAAAAAAUGGAAUUACCCCGUAUUUGAAGUGAUAUUACAUGUGUAAAAAUGUGUACAAUAAGUUUAGGAUGCAUGUCAAAUGUAGCUGAGUGCUUAGUAAAGAUGUUGAUAUACAACAUGUAGGUGUCACCAUGAUUCCUAGCAUAUAGAUGGGUGCAAAUACGAAACUAAGACACGUGGUCAGUUGCUGAAGAAAUUCCGGUGAAAACAUGCAGGGUCUAGCAAAAGGUCUGUAGCUGUGAGGGAAGGUGGAUGGCCCCAUAUGAGAGGUGUCACCAUGAUUCCUAGCAUAUAGAUGGGUGCAAAUACGAAACUAAGACACGUGGUCAGUUGCUGAAGAAAUUCCGGUGAAAACAUGCAGGGUCUAGCAAAAGGUCUGUAGCUGUGAGGGAAGGUGGAUGGCCCCAUAUGAGAGGUAGAUUUUUGAGAAGGGCAGAUAGGGUUCUUGAUUGUGCACAGUGUCUAAAUCCCCAUGUUUGGUACUGUGAUGGUGUGGGGGUGGUGCGGAUUAGCCCAAAUGAGGGAAAAUCAAAGCAAAAAAGGGGAACCUGCUCAGAGCAUGUUUUGUGCACCAGCACCAGUAUUUAUAGAUUACAUGUAAGUUAGGGUCAUAAUUUAUUAACUACACUAAUAUGAAAUACAAGUAUGGACAUAAAAGGGAAAUAUGAUUUUUCAUUAGUCUGUCAUAAUCUGACUUUGGUGUAUACCCCCUAUCCACAUGUUUCAAAACCAAAGAAACUGUCCCC